AGUAAAAUGAGGAAGUUGUACCAUCUGAAACUUUACUGUUGAUAAUUCCUGGAUGGUCUUCAAAGUUCUCUGAUUGCU